GAACCUCUUUCUCCCUUCGUGGCUGUAGAAGGAAGCUGGGAGGAUGGAGCUCAGAGCACAGCCCUGACUUCUAGGCAGCGCUGGGGAAGAUGAAACCCACACUUCCUUUCCUGACGGUUUGGAAAUGCAAUUAGUGAGGUGUUACAAACAUAUGGGGAAAAAAUCUCAUAUACUGUAAGACAACUGGCAGCCAGUGAAGAGUUGAAGGAAACUUCAGAGGGGUGUCUGAACUUCACUCUUUCCUGUUCCUUCUCCACAGCCAUUCGCUUUUAUCAACAGCAGCUUCCCACGAGAAAGAACUUUAGUCCAAUUUUGGAGAAAAAAGCUUUAGACGUAACUGAAGAAUGGGACAGAUAUAAGAACAAUCCAUCAAGGAAAUGCUGAGCUAAUUAACACGAUCUCACCUCUCAAAGUAGCAUUUUUUUUCCCCUUUGGUUGUUUCCCUGCAGAUCUCUGGCCAGUACCAUUUACAUUAGUACAACAGGAACCAAAGAGUCUCCUCUCAGACUGAUGCCAAGUAACAACUGUUUUGAAUUCCCAACUUUAAAAAGAAUGCUCCUAAAAUAAAUACAUGUUAUGUGCUGUA